rnacentral:rRNA from 1 species
AUAGCGUAUAUUAAAGUUGUUGCAGUUAAAAAGCUCGUAGUUGAACUUCAGACCUGGCUGGAUGGUCUGCCGAAAGGCAUGUACUGUCCGGCUGGGCCUUACCUCUUGGUGAGCCGGCAUGCCCUUCACUGGGUGUGUUGGGGAACCAGGACUUUUACCUUGAGAAAAUUAGAGUGUUCAAAGCAGGCUUAUGCUCGAAUACAUUAGCAUGGAAUAAUAAAAUAGGACGUGCGGUUCUAUUUUGUUGGUUUCUAGAGUCGCCGUAAUGAUUAAUAGGGAUAGUUGGGGGCAUUAGUAUUCAGUUGCUAGAGGUGAAAUUCUUGGAUUUACUGAAGACUAACUACUG